rnacentral:rRNA from 1 species
GAUGAACGCUGGCGGCGUGCCUCAAACAUGCAAGUCGAGCGGGGCUAUGUAAUAUCGCAAGGUAGAACAUAGCCUAGCGGCGAACGGGUGAGUAACACGUGGGUAACCUGCCUGGAAGACAGGGAUAACGAUUCGAAAGGGUCGCUAAUACCUGAUAAUAUCCUUUCAUCGCAUGGUGAUAGGAAGAAAGGGGAAACCCGCUUUCAGAUGGGCCCGCGUCCCAUCAGCUAGUUGGUAAGGUAAAGGCUUACCAAGGCGACGACGGGUAGCCGGUCUGAGAGGAUGUACGGCCACACUGGGACUGAGAUACGGCCCAGACUCCUACGGGAGGCAGCAGUUGGGAAUCUUAGGCAAUGGACGAAAGUCUGACCUAGCGACGCCGCGUGAGGGAAGAAGGCCUUCGGGUUGUAAACCUCUGUCAUGGGGAAGAAGUAAGUGACGGUACCCCAAGAGGAAGCCCCUGCUAACUACGUGCCAGCAGCCGCGGUAAGGAGUAGUACA